rnacentral:tRNA from 1 species
GUGUGACCGAGUGGUUAAGGCGAUGGAUUGCUAAUCCAUUGCUCCUUGAGCGCGCAAGUUCGGUUCUUGCCACU